UCCUACCUAUGCUGACAGCCUUGAGAGGCUG
rnacentral:sRNA from 1 species